rnacentral:rRNA from 1 species
GCAGUAGCCGCGGGAAAACGUAGGGUGCGAGCGUUAAUCGGAAUUACUGGGCGUAAAGCGUGCGCAGGCGGUUAUAUAAGACAGAUGUGAAAUCCCCGGGCUCAACCUGGGACCUGCAUUUGUGACUGUAUAGCUAGAGUACGGUAGAGGGGGAUGGAAUUCCGCGUGUAGCAGUGAAAUGCGUAGAUAUGCGGAGGAACACCGAUGGCGAAGGCAAUCCCUUGGACCUGUACUGACGCUCAUGCACGAAAGCGUGGGGAGCAAACAGGAUUAGAUACCCCUGUAGUCCCUGUCUCUUAUAC